UGCCCAGUAACUCCUAUCCCUACCUGGCGUGGUACUGGCCGGGUACGAGUAACCUUGGGGAAGAUCGGGUAGCCAAACCCGGUGGGAACUUUGGUCGUAUGCUGAUUGGGAAGG
rnacentral:ribozyme from 1 species